rnacentral:lncRNA from 1 species
ACAUAGUUUUGAAAAAAUGAACCUAGGCCCUUUAUUUUUCCUCUAUUCUCUAAUCCUAUGGUUUUAGAAGCGUCCUUUGAGUUUCCAACUCCAUUUAGUGUCUUUCCUUCUUUCAUUUUUCUAUUUUUGCUCUCGAAAGGAAAGGAGCUUUAGUACCCUUUAUUUACUUUUCGUGUGGCUUUUGCGAGGUCGUCAGUUGCCAGGAAUUUAGCCUGCCCAGGUACUUUAGCCUGCCCAGGUACUUUCUUCUAUCAUCACUUUUUUGCUCACUUUUCUUUACCCCUAUCCAUUUACCAGUAUGAGCUCGGAUGAAUCUAGGUUACAUUCUUAGGAGAUCAAGUAAGAAGAGUCCAUCCCAGUAGUUCUCCUCCUGUAGAAAAUGAAACUGAACUUAUACUAAUUAGAAGUCUUACGGAUAAAAGUGAGGUAUCUAGUUAGGAAGAGAGAGGUAAGCCCAUCCUCAGAAGGAAAUUGGGAAUCCUCAAAAAUUAGGUUAAUUGUAACUUAGGAGAGAAUAGAAUCCUAGAACGGUAAAUAUAGCAUACUAAACUCAAUUGAAAUGAUAUUUCCCACCCCUUAAACCGAGCUAAUGAGCCUUCGAUCGAGUAUGUCGCGCUUAACUCAGCUAUACUAAACCCCUGACUCAGGUUACCAUUUUCCAAAGUCAUCCGUAAGUUCCUAUUGUCUUGGGGAAUAGCUCCAACAUAACUUUGUCCCAAUGGGUAGAGAAAUUUGCUUGUUGCCAUGCUGUUGUGGCAUAGGUUAAGCUUUUCUGAAUUAAUUAUAGACCAAUUUAAUUCAUUGUACCUUUUAUGGGAGAUAUGAUAGACUCAAGUUAGCACUAUGCCAGUGUAAAACCUAAGACUGGAGGUUCCUUAGUUUUAGAUACUCUAUCCUCUAUUAAGAAGUGGAAGUCUGAUUUCUUUUAUGUUAUUAAGAAGUGGCAGUUUCACUCAACUGAGAUGGAUAGAAAUAACGUCGUUCCUAUUUGUUGCCAUAAAUUGUGUAAGUGUGCCUCGAUUUAUCUUCCAAAAUUCUGAUGUGUUUUGACUUCUGACCACCUAUCUCUCUUCUAGCAAAUUAUGUUCCUCCUGAAAUAACCCUAUAAGUUAGGUGAAGAGAAAUAGUGAUUAGAGCUUUAACAAGGACGAAGAUUGUGUGGCUUCUUGAUAUCAGAUCCCAGCUACUUCCAAGCAGGAUUGUUUCUUCGUAAUUUCAUGCCUCAACCUUCAAGUAAGUUAUGGAAGUCUUUACCUUAGCCUUAUUAUGGUAUUUUCUUAUCCUUUAAAUAACUUUUUUAUAUUCAAAUUCGCCUGAUAAAUAUGUUAUUCUUUUGUAGGUCAAACCCCAAUAAUAUUGGGAUACAAAGCUUCUUAGGCAUCUAAGAAAUGUACAAUGAUAGAGCUCAAAAAGUCUCAAAAAAAGGUGAGAUCUCAUCGAAGGGAAGUAAGACACCUCUUUGGCUAAGAAAACCAAAUCCACUAUUUUAGCCAAGGUAUUUCGGCCUCUGACUGCUAUUCCUUACCUAUCUUCUCCCAUUGGUUCCCCUAUUAAAGAAGCUAUUACUACUGUCGCUUCAACACCUGCGACCUCAGGCAUUUCUUGUUCACAUUUUCCUUUCCCCAAUCUCCAGUACCCCGAUAUUGAAGCUAUGGUUGGAACUCACCCAGAGAUACUCCUAGAUUUCUUCAAGCACCAUCACUUUCCAAAGAUAUGAUCUCAUCUUUCCCUUUUACUAUUAGAGACUCAGCUAACCUACUAACAAGAAGCUGUAAUGAAAGAAAACAAAGGUUUUUGGAAGAGAUGUCUAUAGAUGAGGUAUGUAUUACUGCAAAGCUAUACAGUGAUCAUUCUGUUUUAUAUAUGAUGAAUGUGGCCAUGAAGAUGUGUUCCUCUUUUUCUUUUUUCUUUUUGAACUCUCUAUUGAAUAAUCAAAAUUGACUUGUUCAUAGGUCAAUGCUAAGAUUGAAAAAGUGGUUGCUUUGAGGAAUGAGGCCUUAGCUACUUUCUAGGUUGUUAAGGCUGACAAAGUCCAAAAGACAAAGGAGAAGAAAGAACAUGAGCAUAGACUUUGCACCUUGGAGGCCGAACUAAAGGCUAAGGUCGUUGUUAGGUCUAAGCUUGAGAAAGAGUUGGCAGCAACUAAGUUACAGAGUGAGGAGGCCAACAUUUGAGCUUACAAUGAAAAAUUGAAGGAUGAAGAGGAAUGAAAAAAUAUCAAUGAGGCAGAUGCUAGGACAAUCAAAGCCAUAGAGCUCUAGAAAGAGUUUCCAAAGUUCAACGCAUUGGCUCAGAAUGCUCACAUCGUCAGCUUGGUCGAGGUGAUAAUGCACAUUGAAAAAAUACGACUGUGUUUGCACUUCAUCAAAAGACAAAUAGUAGUCUUCAUGCCUUUUUGAUGUUUAUCUGUAAUACCUCUUUUAGUUAGGUUGAUCGAGAUAGGUCUUUUUAAUCUGGCCUCUCAAGCAUGGUCGACGUUCCUUUCUUAGAACAUAUUUACCCUUGACCUAGGUUGAUCAAAAUUGCAUGAUCUUACCUCAGCAUGGUCCUUCCGUACGACGCCCACUCCACCUGGGGUAAGAAAAUUCAUACAAUAAUGGUAAAUUGAAUUGGCUAUCUUUAAUUCAUGCAAUAUAAGCUUUCCAAGAUUGCAUUAUAACAAGACGAUAAGUCGACUACUACAAAAUCAGCAAUGGUCCUCCUCUUGUAGGGUACAUCUCCUAGUUCAACAGUUAGGACAAUCUGACCUCACAUUUCAAUGGGAUCUCUCGUAAAGACUUUCAAUUUAUAGAAGUGGGAUGUAAAUACCUUUCUGGAAUUCCCAUUUGUUCCAAAGUUUUAAAAUAUAAGAUAUUAACAAAAGUCUUAUAAUCUGCAAGAGUUAGAUAUAUGUUAAUUCUGGUGACGUGCAUGGUGAUUAUUAAGGUGUCAAUUUAGUUAUACAAUACUCCAUGAGAAUCUUCUUUUGAAAUCCCAAACCAUUUGGGACUCUACCUUAGUAUAAGGUUGAUCUUACAUUGUCCUACCUCUUAUUUCUACCAAAUAGAUGCAUCUCUGGCCUGCUCGCGAUGCUCACUUCUUAAACCUUUUGCACACUAAUUUUUACCUAUUAGCAUCCUGAUUUCAACAUUGGAAUGGGAAUUCCUUGCUUGUGAGCCUGGAAGAGCUGACUGUAAAUUCUCAUACUAGUAUUGAUGUGGUGGCUGAAGAGAUAUUUGGGUUGUUUUUGAUAAGUAUAUUUUUACACACUUUUUAGGCAUUUUAAUGAGCUAUUUAUUGAUGAAAUUGAGCGAAUUUUUAUUCAUAAUUGUGUAAUUGUGGUGUUUGUAGGUCAAAAUCCCAAAUUGGAGGAGAAAACGGCUAAAGGAAGAGAGGACCAAAAGUGCAAAAGUACUGAAAGUUUAGGGACCUAGGUUGCAAUAUUUUAUAUGGGCAUGAUUAAAAGAAAAGUCAAAAUUUGAGGACUAAAAUGUACAAUAUGAAAGUUGAGGGAUUGAAUGUGCAAUUACCAAAGGAUAGAGCUUCAAGAAGAGCAAAAUAGGGAAUUGGCACUGUGCUUUUGUCCAUUUGAUAGCAACGCCGUAGCCACGGCUAGGGUCCAUUUGGCUUUUUUUUUUUUUUUUUUAAAUUAAUUUAGGACCAUUUUGCAAUUAACAAAACACGAUUUUUGAGCCAUUUAAAAGGCAAAUUGAACCAUUUUUUCCCAUUCUUCAUCCAUUUCAAAACCCUAGCAUAGGGAGAAAAAGGGGACAAGCAAAAAAAGAGAGGAAAUAUCACACAAAGGGGAGGAAAAUAUUGGAGAAAUUAAAACCAAAACUAAGCAAGCUUCAAUGGUCCGACCAAGGGACAGGUUUAUUUCUAUAUAUUGUAAUUUACAUUAUAUUUUUCUCGACUUUUGUCAUGUAUUUCUUUAAUAUUUUCACUUUGAGCCUUUUAAACACAAUGGGCUAAAUAUUUUGGUAUUGGGAUGAAUGAGGAAGUUUGGCCAAACUAUAUUAAUUUCUAUGUUUACUUCUUAAUGUAUUAAUGCUUAUGCUCUUGUGUUCUUACCAUUAUUUUGACUGCAUUAUCCUUAUCGUCGCC